rnacentral:rRNA from 1 species
GCAAGUCGAGGGGGUGUAGCAAUACAUCACCGGCGCACGGGUGCGUAACACGUAUGCAACCUACCCCUUAUUAAAGGAUAUACUCGGGAAACUGGGGGCAAUACUUUAUAUGCACACAUCUAGGCAUCUAGGAGUGUGAAAACGUAAGGAUAGGGGAUGGGCAUGCGUCUGAUUAGCUAGUUGGUGAGGUAACGGCUCACCAAGGCGACGAUCAGUAGCUGGUCUGAGAGGAUGAUC